rnacentral:sRNA from 1 species
CAGAGCACGAAGGUUUUGGAGCAGAGGGACUUUAGAGCUGUGAUUUGAGUCGGGGGAACGUUCGCAAAGUGUUUUCGAAAGGCUAGCUAAGGAGAAAACCAAGUUGCUGUUAUGCCGGUGGAGCAAGCUUUAGUUGGAGGAUCGAUGGAAGCUUAGUUAUAAGAAAGAGCCUUAUAAUUUUAGUCUAUGUUUUAAGUGUGAACUGUAUUUUCGUUUGAAUAUGAGUGAGAGUUUGUAUAAUAAUGAGGAAAACUGUUAUUCCUCCUCCUAUCAACUGUUCUAUUGUAUCAAUGAUGUAAGAACUCUAUUAUAGUUUAAUGCUAUAAUAAU